UGAUCCUGCNGGNCCUUACUGCUAUCGGGGUGGGANUNAGACNUGCGAGUCGAGCGUCUCUAGCUAUGUUGAGACGCGGCAUACGGCUCAGUAACACGUGGCUAACCUACCCUCAGGACGGGGACAAACCCGGGAAACUGGGGCUAAUAUCCGAUAGGUGAGAAUGCCUGGAAUGGUUUCUCACUCAAAGGGCUUUAGAAACAUGCUUUUAAAGUCGCCUGGGGAUGGGGCCGCGACCGAUCAGGUUGUUGGUGAGGUAAUGGCUCACCAAGCCUAUAACCGGUACGGGCCGUGAGAGCGGUAGCCCGGAGAUGGGUACUGAGACAAGGACCCAGGCCCUACGGGGCGCAGCAGUCGCGAAAACUCCGCAAUGCACGAAAGUGUGACGGGGCUACCCCGAGUGCCAUCCGCUGAGGAUGGCUUUUCCGUGGUAUAACUAGCCAUGGGAAUAAGGAGAGGGCAAGACUGGUGUCAGCCGCCGCGGUAAUACCAGCUCUCCGAGUGGUAGGGAUGAUUAUUGGGCUUAAAGCGUCCGUAGCCGGCUUAGCAAGUCUCCUGUUAAAUUCAGCGACCUAAUCGUUGAGCCGCGGGAGAUACUACUAGGCUAGGAGGCGGGAGAGGUCGACGGUACUUCUGGGGUAGGGGUGAAAUCCUAUAAUCCCGGGAGGACCACCAGUGGCGAAGGCUGUCGACUAGAACGCGCUCGACGGUGAGGGACGAAAGCUGGGGGAGCGAACCGGAUUAGAUACCCGGGUAGUCCCAGCUGUAAACGAUGCGGGCUAGGUGUUGGGGUGGCUACGUGCCACUUCAGUGCCGCAGGGAAGCCAUUAAGCCCGCCGCCUGGGGAGUACGGCCGCAAGGCUGAAACUUAAAGGAAUUGGCGG
rnacentral:rRNA from 1 species